GGCUUAAAAUUCCUAGCCCCAUUCUCUUGAUCUGAGUUGCUUCUGGGGGAUGAGCGUGGCACCACGCCGUCUCAGGUGCUAUAUAGGGGACUUCCCAAGAGUUUCCCGUGUCAGUUGUAAGGUGCUGUCUAUACAUGAGGGGACGGUUUUAUGAAGACACAGGGGAGAGUUACCAGCAGAGUGAUGGCCAAAGCUUUGAGCUAGAUGGUUUUCAUCUUCCUGAAAGAUCAUCCUAGGCUUUUCCUGAUGUUUCCAUCAAUCUGUUAGGUGCAGUAUGUGGUCGUGUCCCUCAGGGAGUUUCCCAUUUACUCUGGAAGACCAAACUUAUAGGCUACACUCUGGGUGCAGACAGUGCUAGUCCUGUGGGGAGUUGGGAAAAAGGAGUGGGAGGCUUUGUGGCUGAGGAGGGGCUUCAGGGCAGCAAGGAUGAUGGUUGGGUUUGAACAGUCAGUGGAAAAGGAAGUGUGGAAAAGCCAGAGAAGUAGACACGGAUGUGUGCAUGCCAGAGAGGGCAGGGAGACAGGGUUCAUGGAGCGGGCAGAAGCAGCACAUUGACCUCUGCUUCUGCCAGAAGAUCAGAGGGGAUAUCGAGGGGGUGGUCUGGUCAGAGUAAGGGCAGCCUUGAAGCCCCAGCAGAAUAAUUUUGACUUGAUUCUAUGGAAAAUGACAUACAACAGUGUAGGAGGGCUUGUCUUCUAACUGAAAGCAGCUGGGAAUCUUUCCCGAUAGAGUCAAGGGCAGGGCAGAGCAAGGGCCUUUGUCAGCAUGUGCAAAUGUACACGCAUGUAACCAGUGUGUGUGGCCCACCGUGCUUCUAAACCUACCUUUACCUUUUCUAGUUCUUCAAAUCCUUAACCUUCUUGUCUGUGAGCAUCAACAAUCCAGGACUCACACAGACAAGACCACAGUGUGCCAUCUUGUCAGAAGGAGAAACUGAGGCACUCUAUUCUAAAGAGGCUGGUUCUAGGACCCGGCCUUGAAUCACUGUGGAGUAAGACCCAGAGUGUGGGCUGCCAGGCCCUUUCCUUCAGGGAUCUGGCUUCUAAAGUUGGUUCUUUUCCUGUAUCUCAUAAAGAGGGAAAGGAUGGGCCUAGGAGAGGUUAUUUGGACAAAUGGCCAUUGUAAUUGCCUCCUAUCAGGCACAAGUGGAUAGAGGCAGGUGUGGGGAAGAGGGCUGCCUGGAUCUGGGAUUCCCAGUCCCCCAUACUCCUUGGCCUAUUGUUGAAGGGGAGCUAGAGGAGGGGUGUGGACUUAGCAGAUUAAGAAAGAUAAAUGCUUACUCUUUAACAGUGGGAAAGAGGGAUGGAAGAAUAAGAUUGAAAUCUGAGGCAAUAGGAAUGGCCUAGCCUGGUGGAGGCAGGAGAGGCACGUGUGCUCUACAUGCCCGUCCAUGUCUCUGGUCUCUGGUAGGGUGGUCCUUGCUCUGAGCGAAGAGUGUGGGCCACAGGCCACGGGGACGCUCUGAGGAUGUGGGUGCUGCCCAUCUUGAAGUUUCUCCCCACCCCUCUCUGGAGCUGCUACCAUUGUCCUCUGCCCUCGGAGUUCUCUCCUCCCAACCCCACUGCCUCUUGUUCUCUUUCUCCCUUGGGCCAUUAGAAUGGCAGGGAGCCCAGCCAGGGCCUGGACAGCGGCCUCAGCUCCCUGUUCUCAAUAAUUGUGUGUGUGUGCAUGUGUGCGUGUGUACGUGUGAGUGCCUGUGUGUGUGCGUGUGUGUGGGGGCUGGGGCUGGGGUCAACAACAGAUCAGAGCACAGGAGUAGAGAGCUUCUGGGAGGGUGGGGUCACCCAUGAGUCACGUCCUGCACCCUGGAGCCCAGAGGACCCUUCGCUCAAACCCACCACCAGCUGGCAACACUAGAGCAGCCACAGCCGCUUUCUUUGCUGCCCAGAGGAGCCUGGGAGAAGCCAGAAGUUAGCCACAUCCAUGUCUCUUGUACCCUGCAAUCUGGAGGCCACUGCCAGAAGCUGGAAAUCCCAAGUACAGCAGCAAAAGGCUUGAGGAUGGAUUCUUGGCUACUGGUGCAUUGCCACUCCCUGCGACCCUCCUCCUUGUCUUCUGUCUUCUCCUGGUGGCAUCAGGCCUUGCUUCGUGUCCCAACAGGAGCCUCUGGGGCUGGCACAGCCCUCACCGCCUACAACCUGGGCCUGGUGGUUCUCCUAGGGUGCCUCUGGGAGGUUGUGGCCACCCCGCUGCUGGCUAACUGCAGCUACUUCUGCCAGCCAGUGGACUAGAGAUGGAGCAAGCAUGGAAUGAGGGCAUCUUCCUGGAGACAGGUAGGCACUGUGGAAUCAGCAGUGCGUAGAACAGUGAGGAAUUAGGGCUGAACCCAGCCCAGGUGGGACAAGCCCUGGCACCAGCCGACUGCAGUCUGAUGGAACUUCCCCUUCCUGCCCAGCAGAUGGCGAGCGUGUGCUGCUGGUGCCUCUUUCCAAAGGAUGUUGAAUUGUUUGACAGGUGUUCUUUACUUUAUGAAUGAAACCAGAGCAGCCCACCUUCCUGCAUCUCUACCACCAUGGCACCAUGCCCUGUGAAGGGUGAGCUGGAGUCAAAUACGUAGCAGGCAGCCAGGGUCAGUUUGUGGCCACUGCUGCCUCCUCUUCCUAUGGUCUCCUCACUGAGUGCCCCUUCCCUGUUGGGUUCAACAUGUCUAUGCUCCUGUAAGCCCUCAGCCUCCUCGUUCUCUUCCUCAACUUCUACCACCAGACACACCUGAGAGGCAAGCAAGAGAGGCUAAACUAGGAGCAGGACCCAGGGACUGAAACCAGCACAGCAUCCCCACAGAGAAUUGGGUGGAAGGCAGCAUGGCUUCCAGCUUACUGGUGCCGAGCAGAUUCCCCUGGGUCUCCAUUGUAUCCUCUGAAGGAAGGAGGAGGAUUGCCUUCUGUCCAGAUCUCAGGAUCAAACAAAUAGGUCCAACUUCCUGUGCUCACUUCAGUUAGAGCACUUCUCAUGUGACUUUGUAGCUUUGUGUGCAUCUCCUUCCUCUACUAGACCUAAGCCCCUCACUGGAAGGACUCUCUUAUUCUU
rnacentral:sRNA from 1 species